GACGGAGGGGGCAAGCGUUGUUCGGAAUUACUGGGCGUAAAGCGCGCGUAGGCGGUUUGACAAGUGUUGGGUGAAAGCCCUCGGCUUAACCGGGGAAGUGCCUGGCAAACUGUUAGACUUGAGUGCCGGAGGGGGAGGCGGAAUUCCUGGUGGAGCGGUGGAAUGCGUAGAGAUCAGGAAGAACGUCGGUGGCGAAGGCGGCCUCCUGGACGGACACUGACGCUGAGGUGCGAAAGCGUGGGGAGCAAACAGG
rnacentral:rRNA from 1 species